ensembl:lncRNA
CUCAGCUCAAAAAUUAUAAUUGUGACAAUUUGGAACAGCUAAAGAAUGUUCAAGAAUGUCAUCAGAUGGAGGGAACAACAUCAACAAAUAGCCCAUGUCACUGAGAACACUGCUCAGCUGGCUCGUAGAUUCUUUCUUCAACCACACCUUGACAAGAAAGAGGACCUGAAAGCUGAAAGGACCCAUGUCAGCUGAAGUGUACAGCAGCAUGCUUUCUCCAAACUUAUCAAGUUUACUGCACCCUCUCUCCUCUGGCCUGCUACUCAUCCUUUCUUGGUAAGUGCGAUUUUCAGUUUCUUCAAGGUGGGAAUUGUUGCAGCAAGAUAACCAUCGACUAUUUCCUGG